AAUAUUUAGCGGGUAUAGCUCAGUGGUAGAGCGCAACCUUGCCAAGGUUGAUGUCGCGCGUUCGAAUCGCGUUA
rnacentral:tRNA from 1 species